GAUGAACGCUGGCGGCGUGCCUAAUACAUGCAAGUCGAGCGAACAGACGAGGAGCUUGCUCCUCUGACGUUAGCGGCGGACGGGUGAGUAACACGUGGAUAACCUACCUAUAAGACUGGGAUAACUUCGGGAAACCGGAGCUAAUACCGGAUAAUAUAUUGAACCGCAUGGUUCAAUAGUGAAAGACGGUUUUGCUGUCACUUAUAGAUGGAUCCGCGCCGCAUUAGCUAGUUGGUAAGGUAACGGCUUACCAAGGCAACGAUGCGUAGCCGACCUGAGAGGGUGAUCGGCCACACUUGAACUGAGACACGGUCCAGACUCCUACGGGAGGCAGCAGUAGGGAAUCUUCCGCAAUGGGCGAAAGCUUGACGGAGCAACGCCGCGUGAGUGAUGAAGGUCUUCGGAUCGUAAAACUCUGUUAUUAGGGAAGAACAAAUGUAUAAGUAACUAUGCACGUCUUGACGGUACCUAAUCAGAAAGCCACGGCUAACUACGUG
rnacentral:rRNA from 1 species